rnacentral:rRNA from 1 species
UACGUAGGAUCCAAGCGUUGUCCGGAUUUACUGGGUGUAAAGGGUGCGCAGGCGGACUUAUAAGUCAGGGGUGAAAUCUCGCUGCUCAACAGCGAAACUGCCUUGAUACUGUAGGUCUUGAAUUAGGGAGAGAUUCGUGGAAUUCCGAGUGUAGCAGUGAAAUGUGUAGAUAUUCGGAAGAACACCAGAGGCGAAGGCAGCGAAUUGGCCCUAUAUUGACGGCUCAGGCACGAAAGCAUGGGGAUCAAACAGG